GUUGAGGAGUAUUGACGCUUGGCUGUGAACUGGUGUGGAGAGGCUAACAGACGGUGCAUUGCAAUGAGGCAGCCAAGAGAAAAGAUUAAACCCAUAGAUGAAGCUGAUGUGCCCAUGGCAUCGUCCUCCCUCAAAGAUGAUGAGCAGUGCAUUACAAUGAGGCAGGCAAGACACAAGUUUAAACCCAAAGAUGAAGCUGAUGCGCCUGGGGCAUCGUCCUCCCUCAAAGAUGAUGAGCAGGGCACACUGAUCUUCCUCAUGUUGAUACGCCCAUGGCAUCGUCUUCCCUCAAAGAUGAUGAGCAGGGCACACUGAUCUUCCUCAUGUUGAUACGCCCAUGGCAUCGUCCUCCCUCAAAGAUGAUGAGCAGGCUUGGUAGCUAGUGAAGUCCUUCGAGACUGUAAGACCAGACUGAGCAACCUGCACACUGCCAGGAUUGACUAAAAGAAAGCCUAUGGCUGAAUGCCUCACACGUGGAUCCUGGAAUGCUUAGAACUAUGCGAGACCAACAGAACCCUAACAGCCUUCAUCAGGAAUAUGUGGAUAUUAACAAUAGAAGCCAACUUUAAGCCAACUCCACAAGUCACCAUCAAGUGCAGGAUUUACCAAGAAGACAACUCAGUCCCCACUGCUGUUCUACAUAGUCCAAAACCUCCUCAGCCCUAUCAUUGAAAAGACUUCUGUAAUAGAACUAGUACAGAAUGGAGAACAUUUUAGCCACCACCUCUACAUGGAUGACAUCAAGCUGUAUGCCAGGGGUGAACAGGUUGGAUGGUAACAAAGAAAACAAAGGUAGUCAGAGCUGAGGGGAUUGUACUACCAGAAGACAACAUUGCAGCAAAGAUACUGAUAGCUUCCAGACCUCUGGUAGAGUACCCAAGCUGAAAGGAUAAAGACGCUUGCAGGGCGAGUGGCGAAUUUUUAUAUAUAUCCAGACUAUAUUGCCAAAAGUUUUAACUUAGACAUCCAAAUCGGGUGUUCCAAUCAAUAAGGGUAUUCCAAGAGGAUUAUGGUGUGCAAAUAUCCAUUAGGGAAAACAAGGCAACUGUGACUAUGUACUGACAUUUAAUAAGUAUGUGAAAAUGAAUCUCCUCUGUAAUGUGUUUUAUUUCAUAAUGGACCAUAGGUUUUAACUUGUGAAUGAAGUUAGGAAUAAUCAUUUUGAAUAAGAGUGUGAAGGCUCCUCUCUAUCAUCUCAUCACACCAGCUGCACCAUGAAUUCCAAACUAAAAA